rnacentral:rRNA from 1 species
AACGAACGCUGGCGGCAUGCCUAACACAUGCAAGUCGAACGAGAACUUCGGGUCUAGUGGCGCACGGGUGCGUAACGCGUGGGAACCUGCCCUUAGGUUCGGCAUAACUCCCCGAAAGGGGUGCUAAUACCGGAUAAUGUCUUCGGACCAAAGAUUUAUCGCCUUUGGAUGGGCCCGCGUUGGAUUAGCUGGUUGGUAGGGUAAAAGCCUACCAAGGCGACCAUCCAUAGCUGGUCUGUGAGGAUGGUCAGCCACACUGGGACUGGGACACGGCCCAGACUCCUACGGGAGGCAGCAGUGGGUAAUAUUGGACAAUGGGCGAAAGCCUGAUCCAGCAAUGCCGCGUGAGUGAUGAAGGCCUUAGGGUUGUAAAGCUCUUUUACCCGGGAUGAUAAUGACAGUACCGGGAGAAUAAGCUCCGGCUAACUCCGUG